rnacentral:rRNA from 1 species
AUUGAACGCUGGCGGCAGGCCUAACACAUGCAAGUCGAACGGUAGCACAGAGAGCUUGCUCUUGGGUGACGAGUGGCGGACGGGUGAGUAAUGUCUGGGAAACUGCCUGAUGGAGGGGGAUAACUACUGGAAACGGUAGCCAAUACCGCAUAACGUCGCAAGACCAAAGAGGGGGACCUUCGGGCCUCUUGCCAUCAGAUGUGCCCAGAUGGGAUUAGCUAGUAGGUGGGGUAAUGGCUCACCUAGGCGACGAUCCCUAGCUGGUCUGAGAGGAUGGCCGGCCACACUGGAACUGAGACACGAUCCAGACACCUACGGGAGGCAGCAGUGGGGAAUAUUGCACAAUGGGCGCAAGCCUGAUGCAGCCAUGCCGCGUGUAUGAAGAAGGCCUUCGGGUUGUAAAGUACUUUCAGCGAGGAGGAAGGUGGUGAGGUUAAUAACCUCAUCAAUUGACGUUACUCGCAGAAGAAGCACCGGCUAACUCCGUGCCAGCCGCCGCAGUAACAC